UGACAACAGGCAGCCAGCCAACCAUGUGAUCUCUGCUACCGGCAAAAUACAAAACUUCGGCAGGCAUCAUGAAGCGGAUUUAUGCUUCUGGAAGCCAAUAAAGAAAGGAAGAGGAGUAUAAGAAAAAACAAAAUAGUGGUGCUUUGCUUAAAUUUCUCAGCGCGCAGGUUCUUCCUAAAGAUACAUCCACUGAUGAAGCUACACCAUCAACGUCAUCCUCAACAUCAACAGAUGCAUCACUUCUCAGUGCUGAUGUUUCCUCUAUAGCACAAGGCUUUGCGUGCGUGUGGGGGGGCCUCCAUGUCCAUUUUGCUUGGGGCCCCCAAAUUCCUUCAAACGGCCCUG